UACGGAGGAUCCGAGCGUUAUCCGGAUUUAUUGGGUUUAAAGGGUGCGCAGGCGGGAGAUUAAGUCGGCGGUGAAAUUUUGCAGCUCAACUGUAAAAGUGCCUUCGAAACUGGUUUCCUUGAGUGUAGAUGAAGUAGGCGGAAUUUGUGGUGUAGCGGUGAAAUGCUUAGAUAUCACGAGGAACUCCGAUUGCGCAGGCAGCUUACUAAACCACUACUGACGCUCAGGCACGAAGGCGUGGGGAUCAAACAGGAUUAGAUAUCCCGGUAGUCCCU
rnacentral:rRNA from 1 species